GUGCUCGCUUUGGCAGCACAUAUACUAAAAUUGGGACGAUACAGAGAAGAUUAACAUGGCCUCUGUGCAAAAGAUGAGACACAAAUUCUUGGGCUAGGAAGGUGGCUC
ensembl:snRNA U6 U6 spliceosomal RNA